CCCUUAGAUGUUCUGGGCCGCAUGCGCGCUACACUGAUGCAUUCAACAAGCCUAGCCUUGACCGAGAGGUCCGGGUAAUCUUUGAAACUGCAUCGUGAUGGGGCUAGAUUAUUGCAAUUAUUAAUCUUCAACGAGGAAUGCCUAGUAAGCGUGAUUCAUCAAAUCGCGUUGAUUACGUCCCUGCCCUUUGUACACACCGCCCGUCGCUCCUACCGAUUGAAUGUGUUGGUGAGGAGCUCGGAUUGGCAGCAGUUGGUGGUUCGCCACCGGCUAUUGCUGAGAAGUCCUCCAAACCGCCCCAUUUAGAGGAAGGAGAAGUCGUAACA
rnacentral:rRNA from 1 species